AGUUGGCCUCCGCCUCCCGCGACCCCCGGCGCCGGCGGUCUGGCCGUGCGCACCUUCGUGUCGCACUUCAGGGACCGCGCGGUGGCCGGCCACCUGACGCGGGCCGUUGAGCCCCUGCGCACCUUCUCGGUGCUGGAGCCCGGUGGGCCCGGCGGCUGCGCGGCGAGACGACGCGCCACCGUGGAGGAGACGGCGCGGGCGGCCGACUGCCGUGUCGCUCAGAACGGCGGCUUCUUCCGCAUGAACUCGGGCGAGUGCCUGGGGAACGUGGUGAGCGACGAGCGGCGGGUGAGCAGCUCCGGGGGGCUGCAGAACGCGCAGUUCGGGAUCCGCCGCGACGGGACCCUGGUCACCGGGUUCCUUUAGCAAAUUUGUGAAUGUGAUAUCAGCCAGGACGGCCAUUGGCCA
rnacentral:sRNA from 1 species